rnacentral:rRNA from 1 species
ACAUGCCUACAAUAUAUUGUUAAUGCACCAGAUCCCAUUAGAACUUCGCAUUUAAGUGCUCUCAGGCUAGAGUAGUAUUGGGAUGGGUGAUCGCCCAGGGAAUUCCUAGUGUUUUGCAUGCC